rnacentral:rRNA from 1 species
ACUCCUACGGGAGGCAGCAGUGGGGAAUAUUGGACAAUGGGCGCAAGCCUGAUCCAGCCAUGCCGCGUGCGGGAAGAAGGCCUUCGGGUUGUAAACCGCUUUUAGCCGGGAAGAAAAGGCAGGGGCUAACACUCUCUGUUCUUGACGGUACCGGCGGAAUAAGCACCGGCUAACUACGUGCCAGCAGCCGCGGUAAUACGUAGGGUGCGAGCGUUAAUCGGAAUUACUGGGCGUAAAGCGUGCGCAGGCGGUUCGUUAAGUCUGAUGUGAAAGCCCCGGGCUCAACCUGGGAAUGGCAUUGGAUACUGGCGGGCUUGAGUGUGGCAGAGGGGGGUGGAAUUCCGCGUGUAGCAGUGAAAUGCGUAGAGAUGCGGAGGAACACCGAUGGCGAAGGCAGCCCCCUGGGCUGACACUGACGCUCAGGCACGAAAGCGUGGGGAGCAAACAGGAUUAGAUACCCUGGUAGUC